rnacentral:rRNA from 1 species
CCUUAGGAGAAGAAUAACUGCUGGAAACGGCUGCUAAAUCUUCAUAUGUCGAGAGAUGAAAUAGCUUAGGCUGCCUAAGGAUGAGCUCACGCCUGAUUAGCUAGUUGGUGAGGUAAUGGCUCACCAAGGCCACGAUCAGUAGCUGGUUUGAGAGAACGAUCAGCCACACUGGGACUGAGACACGGCCCAGACUCCUCCGGGAGGCAGCAGUGAGGAAUUUUCCGCAAUGGGCGAAAGCCUGACGGAGCAAUACCGCGUGAGGGAUGAAGGAUUUUGGUCUGUAAACCUCUUUUCUCAAGAAAGAAGUUCUGACGGUACUUGAGGAAUAAGCAUCGGCUAACUCCGUGCCAGCAGCCGCGGUAAUACGGGGGAUGCAAGCGUUAUCCGGAAUCAUUGGGCGUAAAGCGCCUGUAGGUUGUUUAAUAAGUCUGUUGUUAAAGACUAGGGCUUAACCCUAGAAAAGCAAUGGAAACUACUAGACUAGAGUAUGGCA